GGGGAUAACACUUGGAAACAGGUGCUAAUACCGCAUAACCAUAGUUACCGCAUGGUAACUAUGUAAAAGGUGGCUAUGCUACCGCUUUUGGAUGGGCCCGCGGCGCAUUAGCUAGUUGGUGGGGUAAAGGCUUACCAAGGCAAUGAUGCGUAGCCGAACUGAGAGGUUGAUCGGCCACAUUGGGACUGAGACACGGCCCAAACUCCUACGGGAGGCAGCAGUAGGGAAUCUUUCACAAUGGGCGAAAGCCUGAUGGAGCAACGCCGCGUGGGUGAAGAAGGUCUUCGGAUCGUAAAACCCUGUUGUUAGAGAAGAAAGUGCGUGAGAGUAACUGUUCACGUUUCGACGGUAUCUAACCAGAAAGCCACGGCUAACUACGUGCCAGCAGCCGCGGUAAUACGUAGGUGGCAAGCGUUAUCCGGAUUUAUUGGGCGUAAAGGGAACGCAGGCGGUCUUUUAAGUCUGAUGUGAAAGCCUUCGGCUUAACCGGAGUAGUGCAUUGGAAACUGGGAGACUUGAGUGCAGAAGAGGAGAGUGGAACUCCAUGUGUAGCGGUGAAAUGCGUAGAUAUAUGGAAGAACACCAGUGGCGAAAGCGGCUCUCUGGUCUGUAACUGACGCUGAGGUUCGAAAGCGUGGGUAGCAAACAGGAUUAGAUACCCUGGUAGUCCACGCCGUAGACGAU
rnacentral:rRNA from 1 species